UACGGGGGGGGCAAGCGUUGUUCGGAAUUACUGGGCGUAAAGGGCGCGUAGGCGGUUCGAUAAGUCAGCUGUGAAAACCAUGGGCUUAACUCAUGGCCUGCAGUUGAGACUGUCGGGCUGGAGUGUGGGAGAGGAGAGUGGAAUUCCUGGUGUAGCGGUGAAAUGCGUAGAUAUCAGGAGGAACACCGGUGGCGAAGGCGACUUCCUGGCCUGUUCUUGACGCUGGAGGCGCGAAAGCUAGGGGAGCAAACGGG
rnacentral:rRNA from 1 species